rnacentral:rRNA from 1 species
UACGUAGGGUGCAAGCGUUGUCCGGAAUUAUUGGGCGUAAAGAGCGUGUAGGCGGCCCGAUUAGUCCGCUGUGAAAGUCCAGGGCUCAACCCUGGAAUGCCGGUGGAUACUGUCGGGCUAGAGUCCGGAAGGGGCGAGUGGAAUUCCUGGUGUAGCGGUGAAAUGCGCAGAUAUCAGGAGGAACACCAAUGGCGAAGGCGGCUCUCUGGACCACAACUGACGCUGAGGCUCGAAAGCUAGGGGAGCAAACAGG